UGUGUGGCUGCAUCAGGCGGAGCAAGCCUGUCUUCAUUGUUCUUGUGAACUCAAGGUCACUGCUUGGAGCCCCGACCGCGGGCAUUUCUAGCCACUGUCGGGAGAGAUAUUUAGAUUUAGCUCUUAGGGCUAAGG